AGGGAAUAAAGGACACAAUCUACUCCCCCCCAGACAAACGUAUAGUGUGUUCAGUAAUUGGAUGCCUGUGGUUGUUGCUGGAGUGAUUGUGUUUUGUGGUUUGGUUCUUUACUGUUGCUGCAGGAAUAAAGAAGGUGUUCAGAAGGAUGAUAAUAUAGACUAUGAUGAUGUUGAGACUCUGACCCACAUUCAUAAGAUGACAGAAGAUAUCUGGACCACUGUUACAUACAAUACAAUACAGUAGAUCAUCAUUACAAACCUUAAUGUGUUCAUCAUGACUGUUGAUAAACUUUAUUAUACAACAGUUCUUUCUGGUCCUCGAAUCUGAUUGGCUAAGAGCUAUACGAUAUUGUACUGAUAACGGCACUGUAACCGCUUCACCUUUCGUAUUAUUCCGCCACCUAGUGAAUGGAGGUCCUAAACAGGCUCAUCUCUGAAUGGAAAAACACAGACGCGCUGUGUGAAUCACUCUCCGUGUGUCUCAUUAGUUUACUAGCUCAUAAAUCAGUCUGUGAAUCCCCAAUCAGAAGUAUUAUUCCGUCAAAGAUCAGCGCUCUUGGAUGUUACGUUACAGUUAAUGGGAGAAAUGUCUUGUCACAUCGUGUGGACGAUUAACACUUGGAAAGAGGAAUAUAAACACUCGUUUUUUUCUGGAGCUAUAUCUUUUAUCAGAACGCGAAAACACCGUGGAACUGCAGGUAAGCACCGCAGCUUUUAAAUGUGGACAUUGAUCAUUUACUUUAUCGUGACCUGACUAUUAAAACAUGUUAUGAGAUAUCGCCACUGGUAUAUUUAUAAGCAGCAUGCAAAAACAUCUCUCUGACACUUAUAAAAAACCGUUUUGUAUAGUACUGACAAGAACAAAGUUUAAUAAUAAUAAUCGAGUGCUCGUAUCGCGUUAAGAAUAAAUGAGAAAGCAAUAGUAACGUUACACAAGUAGUUUUAUUAACGUUUACCUCGCGCCAAAACAAUAACAACACAAAAGACACUAAAUAUGAAUAAAAAAACAAGUACUAGUUUCAUCAUGACACCAAAUACUGCUGAUUUGAUCUCAUUUUGACGAUCAUAAACAAACAAGGCCAACAUGAGAGCCAGGGAAUCCCUGUCAGAGAUGUAGCCCAGAGAGGGCGGUGGUCAGCGGGGCGAGUGAACACUGACGUCCGCUCAUGCUUUGGUUCUCAUUCGUACCGAAUCUCACUAAGCAAACAUUCAAACAGGCGCUAUCUUUACUAAUCGACUGCAGAUUUAAAUAUAAUACAUAUACAUUCUCGACUGAACUAAUCUUAAAACUACACUUUGUG